UUGUACUUGUAUAGCGCUUUUCUGCCUUCAAGGUACUCAAAGCGCUUUGACACUACUUCCACAUUCACACACUGAUGGAGGGAGCUGCCAUGCAAGGCGCUAACCAGCACCCAUCAGGAGCAAGGGUGAAGUGUCUUGCUCAGGACACAACGGACAUGACGAGUUAUUCUGAAGCUAACCGUGGAGGGGGCGUGGCCUGUGGGCCUGCAGCGAAGUGGGGGGUUGCCAGGAUCGGCAUCGAAAUCAGCGACAGCAGCCAGGAGGAGAGACGGGGUUGGGGCUGGAGCCAGAGCGCAUGCGAGAAUGAAAGAGGAAAAGACAAUUGCUGGAAAACAACUGAGAGACUUAUUGAAAAAUAAAACAAUAGUGUAACCCUGAAACAGGCUCUCAUGUCGGUGCUUGGUGGUCUGAAGAACCCCCAGGAGGGCAAGCCCUACACUAACCAAUAAUAAAUAAAUAACUUCUUACCAUUAACGCAACUUCUUGAACUGGUGCGGUAGGAACGGAUGGAUGGAUUAAAAAUGCAUGAGAAUGUUUUAUAUUUUGAACUUUUUUUUAACGCUGUGAUUACAUGUGGAAUUAUUCAUUACUUAUCGUGUUACGCAAUGUCAGCUCAGAUUUAUCCGAGAGCCAGAUGCAGUUAUAGGGUAGUCUAGAGCCAUAGGUUCCCUACCCCUGUUCUAAUCGAUCUUUUUUGUAACACAGUUAACGAAUGUAGCGCACAUUUGUAGUUGUUUCCCCAUAUUUCUGCACAAUAACUCAGGUAUGGUAACACUAGCGAGCAGAAGAGAAUAUAAAGUGAUUUUUGACCCAGGACGUAUUUUGCUUUAUUCAUUAUUGAAAUAUUUUUUGCCACCUUAUGUUGUAUGUUUUGUAUAUGAGAUUUCCGGUUCAUUUUAUUAUCUAUUAAUACUCCCAAAAAUCUGCUUUAUUUUACCCUUUCAAUAUCUACUCCGUCUAUUUGUAUUCGUGUCUGAUGCUCUUUUCUACUGUUACCAAAUAGCAUUAUUUUUGUUUUACUGAGAUUCAAAGAUAGUCUGUUUUUAUCAAACCAUUAUAUAUAUUUACAUACAUAUAUACAUACAUACACAUAUAUAUACACACACACACAAAUAUAUACACA